GCUAGCGUAGCUUAACUAAAGCAUAACACUGAAGCUGUUAAGAUGGACCCUAGAAAGUCUCGCAAGCA
rnacentral:tRNA from 1 species